AUCAAGGGAGCUAUAAAGGGAUGCCCCUAUAUUGCCUCUCAUUCUGUAGUUGGUAUUCAGUGAGGUUGCACUUGUUCCUGUAAAAAGGAAUAGUUUCGUUCAGGAUUUGAAAUUUUCCUAAGUUCUCUGUUUGGUGACAUGUAUAAACAGAGGUAGACUAUAAGGUUCCACCAUUCUUGAUUGAAAAUAGGGAACGUAACAUCAUCUAAUUUCAACCAAAUUUAUAUAUAUUUUUUUGAAGUCUAUCUAGAUAUUAUAUUUAUCAAAUUGAAUAUGUGAUUGGAUGUAAUCAUUGGAUAUUCUAAACCUUUCUGAUCAAUGGUAAUCACUCCUACUAUAAGAACUGAUUCCAAACCCCUGAUGAAGUCCUAACGGACGAAACGCGUUGGGUUUUGCAACGUCUGGUUAACAAAGUCCUUUUCACAAACAUCUGGUUGGAGAUACAUCCAUUUCGAGUUCUGACUGUGAUCACCUGGCUGUAAAAUCCUCACAUCCAACUGUAAUUUAUGUAUAAGAUUGUAAUAUUGUUUUAUAUGAAUUUUUAGAAGGUUGUGUCAAUAACGAACGCUUAGGAUAAAUAUCGUUUGUUUCUGUACAAUAAAAACUUUUAAUUAUUGUCAUACAAAA